AACUCCAAGCCACAGAACCGUUGCCCAAAAAUAAUAUAGAAAGUAUGGAAUAUGUGAAAGUAUGAGAAUAGAGAAAUCUGAUUGUGGUAUAUGAAAUGUGAAGGAGGAGUGGCCUUUUAUAGGCAUCCAAAACUCGUAACCUCCAAACACAUUUAACCAUAAAAGUUGGUGGCAAUGAAUAGAAAAUAAAAACUGAAAAUUAAACAAUUUGUAACUCCUAUAAUAAAUAAAAGAAACCAACCAAAAAUUAAAACAGAAAAUAAAACGUUUUAAAAUUUAAAAUCCUUUCAAAUAAUAACAAUCCCCCACAAAGGGUUUUAAAAUUUUAAAAUUGUAAAAUAUAAAGAAAAUAUACAUAUGGGCAACAUAAUACUAUGCAAUAGGUGUAGGUGCCUUCCGGGCUUGAACCUUCACUUAGUGAUGAUAGUUUCCAUUUGAGGAACCUGAGUGUACACAGUAUUGAACUCGGCACCUUUGACCAAACUUCAACAUAUCCCACACAUAGUAUUGGUUGAGGCUUGGAAGCGGGGUAGCGCUAUUUAUGGCCAUGCGCUAAUCUUGAUUCUCAUGAGAGUUGCUAGAGAAUAGCCCAAUUCUCACAGUCGCGGCCUCACGACGUCUCUCACUUAGGUGAGUUCUCCAAGAGUACAUGUGACCUGCACCCUGCGGGAGAUUGCCCGCCUCGAAACUCAUUCAGGGAUAACUCCCUUCCUAACGUCACAUUAUAUAGCACUGAUGUCAUAGGGAUGAGCAUGAGGACAUCUCUGGGAUGCCUCCACAUGAAAUAAACAGUGCUCAAUGAGUCACGCAGUAUGGAUUGUUUCUACCCAUUGAACUUCCUUCAUGGGAUCGCCAAUCACAGAAGUUGGGUUACCUCCCUAGGUGACUCCCUUAUGGGCUUAAGCCCAUCCCCCUCGACAUUUCUAGGACUCUGCUCCUAGAAAGACCUUUAGUCAAUUGGUCAGCAAUGUUGUUCUCCGACUUCACAUACUCCAAAGACAUAAUGUUCUUACUUAAUAGACUCUUCAUAGAUUUAUAUCUCACAUGUAUGUGUCUGUUCAUUUUCCUAUUUGUGUGAGAUUGUUUCACCAAGUCUAUUGUAGCCUUGUAGUCACAAUGAAUAGAUAAAGCAGGCAAUGGUUUCUCCACCAGAGGCAUAUCCAUUAAUAAACUCUUAAUCCAUUCAGCCUCAGUGCAAGUAGUAUCCAAAGCUAUGAGUUCAGACUCCAUAGUACUUCUAGAAAUAAUUGUUUGCUUCUUUGAACCCCAUGAAAUUGCAGCUCCACCUAAUAAGAAAAUGUAACCACUAGUAGACUUUACUUCUUCAUUGUCAGUUAUCCAAUUUGCAUCACUAUAUCCCUCUACUACAUUUGGAAAUCCUUUAUAGCACAGUGAAUAAUCUAUUGUUCCUCUUAGGUACUUGAAUACUCUUUCCAAAGCAUUCCAAUGUUCCUUGCUUGGGUUAUGUGUAUACCUACUUAACCUUCCAACAGCAUAAGCAAUGUCUGGUCUAGUCUUAUUUGCAAUAUACAACAAAGAACCUAUCCUCUGGGAGUACUUCAGCUGAGAAAACGGUUCACCUUGAUUUUUCUUUAAAUGAACAUUGGGAUCAUAAGGUGUUGGUGUGGGCUUACACUCAAAGUAAUUGAACUUCUUCAACAUCUUCUCAAUAGUACUAGAUUGACUUAGAGAGAUUCCUUGUGUCAUCUUCUCAAUUUUCAUUCCUAAGAUUACAUGUGCUUCUCCCAUAUCUUUCAUGUCAAAAUUCCUAGAUAAGUAUGACUUCACAUCAUUCACAAUCUCUAAAUUCGUCCCAAAGAUCAAAAUGUCAUCAACAUAUAGGCACAAGAUUACGUGUUCUCCAUUAUUCUCUUUAUAGUAAACGCAUUUGUCAUGACCAUUAAACUUAAAAUCAUAAUCUAGAAUCACCUUGUCAAAUUUCUCAUGCCAUUGCUUAGGAGCUUGCUUUAAGCCAUAUAAUGAUUUAACCAACUUGCACACCUUGUGUUCUUGGCCCUUAACUAUGAAUCCUUCGGGUUGCUCCAUAUAGAUCUCUUCAUCUAAGUCUCCAUUUAGAAAUGCCGUCUUCACAUCCAUUUGAUGAAUCACUAAAUUAUGCACAGAUGCUAAAGCUAUCAAGGUCCUUAUGGUGGUAAUCCUAGAAACAGGUGAGUAAGUAUCAAAAUAAUCUAUCCCUUUCUUUUGUGUAAAACCCUUAGCUACCAAUCUCGCUUUGUACUUAUCAAUACUUCCAUCAGGUUUCAACUUUUUCCUAAACACCCACUUGCACCCUAUCGCUUUAUUUUCAGCAGGCAAAUUCAUUAACAUCCACGUGUUAUUUUGAAUUAUAGAUUGAAACUCAUCAUUUAUAGCCUCUUUCCAGAAUGGUGCAUCCACAGACAUAACGGCUUCCUUAUAAGUUGUGGGAUCUCCUUCUACUAGAAAAGUAUAGAAAUCAUCUCCAAAGUUCUUCUCAACUCUCGCUCUUUUGCUUCUUCUAAGUUCUUGAGAUUCUAAACUUUCAAUCGUAGUUGAGCUAGAAGGCUUUUCACUUAUUUGUACUUCCUUAGAAAUUCUUGUCUUGUAUGGGAAAAUAUCUUCAAAGAAUGUAGCAUCUCUUGCUUCCAUAAUUGUAUUGUUUGCAACUUCCUUUACUUCAGAGUUAAUCACCAGGAAUCUAUUGGCACUACUAUUUUUCGCAUAACCGAGGAAAACUGCGUCUAUAGUCUUAGGACCUAUUUUCUUUCUCUUUGGAUCGGGUAUGAGUACCUUAGCUAAACACCCCCACACUUUUAGGAUUCUAAGGUUAGGUGAUCUACCUUUCCAUAACUCAUAAGGAGUUAAUCUUAACUUGUUUUAUUUAUUUGUUUACUUGGCUCUUUAUUUUAUUUUACUGUUUAAUAUUUAUUUUAUAUAUUAUUUAUAUCAAAAAGUUUUGAAUAAGAAUUUUAUGAAAAGGGAAAAACCACAAUUUUUAAUAACAAUCUAAAGCCUUUGUAGCCUCCCUACGUGCAGGUAAUGACGGUCUACAAGACUCCAAGAUACGACCCCAAUACACAGGCUUAAGAUCCGCUAUGAGCACGUUCACAGUCGGAUAGAAAACUCCAAGCCACAGAACUGUUGCCCAAAAAUAAUAUAGAAAGUAUGGAAUAUGUGAAAGUAUGAGAAUAGAGAAAUCUGAUUGUGGUAUAUGAAAUGUGAAGGAGGAGUGGCCUUUUAUAGGCAUCCAAAACUCGUAACCUCCAAACACAUUUAACCAUAAAAGUUGGUGGCAAUGAAUAGAAAAUAAAAACUGAAAAUUAAACAAUUU
rnacentral:lncRNA from 1 species